rnacentral:rRNA from 1 species
UUAUUUGAGAGUUUGAUCCUGGCUCAGGAUGAACGCUGGCGGCGUGCCUAAUACAUGCAAGUCGAGCGAAUGGAUUAAGAGCUUGCUCUUAUGAAGUUAGCGGCGGACGGGUGAGUAACACGUGGGUAACCUGCCCAUAAGACUGGGAUAACUCCGGGAAACCGGGGCUAAUACCGGAUAACAUUUUGAACCGCAUGGUUCGAAAUUGAAAGGCGGCUUCGGCUGUCACUUAUGGAUGGACCCGCGUCGCAUUAGCUAGUUGGUGAGGUAACGGCUCACCAAGGCAACGAUGCGUAGCCGACCUGAGAGGGUGAUCGGCCACACUGGGACUGAGACACGGCCCAGACUCCU